rnacentral:rRNA from 1 species
GUAUACGCGAGGACUACCGGGCUUAAUAUGCAUGAAUGAUCUGGAGACAGGUCAGCCGCAAGGCAUGUAUGAAGGUGCUGCAUGGUUGUCGUCAGCUCGUGCCGUGAGGUGUCGGCUUAAGUGCCAUAACGAGCGCAACCCUUUCUGCCAGUUACUAACAGGUGAUGCUGAGGACUCUGGCGGUACUGCCAUCGUAAGAUGUGAGGAAGGUGGGGAUGACGUCAAAUCAGCACGGCCCUUACGUCCGGGGCUACACACGUGUUACAAUGGGGAGUACAGAAGGCCGCUUGCCGGCGACGGCUGGCCAAUCCCGAAAGCUCCUCUCAGUUCGGACUGGAGUCUGCAACCCGACUCCACGAAGCUGGAUUCGCUAGUAAUCGCGCAUCAGCCACGGCGCGGUGAAUACGUUCCCGGGCCUUGUACACACCGCCCGUCAAGCCAUGAAAGCCGGGAGUACCUGAAGUGCGUAACCGCGAGGGGCGCCCUAGGGUAACACCGGUAAUUGGGGCGUCGACGCGGC